GGUCAUGAGUGCCAGCGCGAAGCCCCGGCUUGCUGGCCGGCAACCCUCCUACGCGGGUGGGGUGCUCCGGGUGAGGACCCGGCCCGGCACAGGGUGUGCCCGGCAAGUCGCGGAC
rnacentral:ncRNA from 2 species